UCCCUGGCUGCGGCUCCUCAGUCGGCGGCGGCUGCUGCUGCCUGUGGCCCGGGCGGCUGGGAGAAGCGGAGUGUUGGUGAGUGACGCGGCGGAGGUGUAGUUUGACGCGGUGUGUUACGUGGGGGAGAGAAUAAAACUCCAGCGAGAUCCGGGCCGCGAACGAAAGCAGUGACGGAGGAGCUUGUACCACCGGUAACUAAAUGACCAUGGAAUCUGGAGCAGAGAACCAGCAGAGUGGAGAUGCAGCUGUAACAGAAGCUGAAAACCAACAAAUGACAGUUCAAGCCCAGCCACAGAUUGCCACAUUAGCCCAGGUAUCUAUGCCAGCAGCUCAUGCAACAUCAUCUGCUCCCACCGUAACUUUAGUACAGCUACCCAAUGGGCAGACAGUUCAAGUCCAUGGAGUUAUUCAGGCCGCCCAGCCAUCAGUUAUUCAGUCUCCACAAGUCCAGACAGUUCAGUCAUCUUCCUGUAAGGACUUAAAAAGACUUUUCUCCGGAACACAGAUUUCAACUAUUGCAGAAAGUGAAGAUUCACAGGAAUCAGUGGAUAGUGUAACUGAUUCCCAGAAACGAAGGGAAAUUCUUUCAAGGAGGCCUUCCUACAGGAAAAUUUUGAAUGAUUUAUCUUCUGAUGCACCAGGAGUGCCAAGGAUUGAAGAAGAGAAGUCUGAAGAGGAGACUUCAGCACCUGCCAUCACCACUGUAACGGUGCCAACUCCGAUUUACCAAACUAGCAGUGGACAGUAUAUUGCCAUUACCCAGGGAGGAGCUAUACAACUGGCUAACAAUGGUACCGAUGGGGUACAGGGCCUGCAAACAUUAACCAUGACCAAUGCAGCUGCCACUCAGCCUGGUACUACCAUUCUACAGUAUGCACAGACCACGGAUGGACAGCAGAUCUUAGUGCCCAGCAACCAAGUUGUUGUUCAAGCUGCCUCUGGAGAUGUACAAACAUACCAGAUUCGCACAGCACCCACUAGCACUAUUGCCCCUGGAGUUGUUAUGGCAUCCUCCCCAGCACUUCCUACACAGCCUGCUGAAGAAGCAGCACGAAAGAGAGAGGUUCGUCUAAUGAAGAACAGGGAAGCAGCACGAGAGUGUCGUAGAAAGAAGAAAGAAUAUGUAAAAUGUUUAGAAAACCGAGUGGCGGUGCUUGAAAACCAAAACAAGACACUGAUUGAGGAGCUAAAAGCACUUAAGGACCUUUACUGCCACAAAUCAGAUUAAUUUGGGAUUUAAAUUUUCAUCUGUUAAGGUGGAAAAUGGACUGGCUUCGCCACAAUCAGAAAGACAAAAUAAACAUUUUAUUUUCUAAACAUUUCUGUUUUUCUAUGCGCAAAACUGCCUGAAAGCAACUACAGAAUUUCAUUCAUUUGUGCUUUUGCAUUAAACUGUGAAUGUUCCAACACCUGCCUCCACUUCUCCCCUCAAGAAAUUUUCAGCGCCAGGAAUCAUGAAGAUACUUCUGCUUUUCAACCCCCACCCUCCUCAAGAAGUAAUAAUCUGUUUACUUGUAAAUUGAUGGGGGAAAUAAGGAAAAGAAAACCUUUUAAAAAAUGAUUUCAAGGUUUGCGCUGAGCUCCUUGAUUGCCUUAGGGACAGAAUUACCCCAGCCUCUAGAGCUGAAGUAAUGUGUGGGCCGCAUGCAUAAAGAUGAACAAAGUUUAUGAAGGAGAAUCAUUCUAAGAAUUGAGUGAUGUAGUCUUUAUAUUUGGACAAUUCACCAGAUUCUCAAGAAGGCUUUCAAACGACUGUAAAGUUUGAUAUUUGUCCUGCUGACCUAAUGGGGAAAGUUAUAGUAUACAAAUUGUUUGUAUACCAGCAUAGUUAAUGUCAUUUUCUAAAACUGGUUUAACGGAAAAUCACAAAUCUUUUCACAAACUGGAAUUAUUUUGUAUUGGGUCAAAAUGUCAGAUUGAACAUUUUUAAUGUCGUCAGCGUUGUAAGUGAAAAAUUGUCUAGUGAGUUGUAUUCUCUAAAGUCUUUUUCAGAAGUUAAGGCUUUCUACUUAAUUAGGAAGUUGGUGGUCCUCUUAGUCCCUCAUAAAUGAAGGCAAUCACAUUCACAUUAGCUGGCUGGAGAUUUGUAAGUUAUAAAAACCUGGUCCUUGAGGAUGAUUGCCCUGGUUUGAAGUCACUUACUUAAUGAUGAGGUGAGAAAUGUAUUCUUUUGCUAAAUCUGUUUUAGACCCUCUACAGAUAGAAAUCAAGCAUCUUUUGUGCUGGCUUUUUUUUUUUUUUUUAAACACAAGAAUUGGAAAAAAAGGUGUUUGUUUUUAAGCAUGCAACUUUGAGAACCUUUAUUAAAGAAAAUGACAUAAUUUUUUAAAAAAUCUUGUAGCCAAGAACAUAUGUGGCCACAUUACCAGUAAUGUUUUUUUUCUUCAUAUUGGCCAAAAGGGAAUGAAAAUGUCAUCAUAGGAAUCUGUACAUAUGCUACUGAUUUUCCCUAGAAAUAGCAAGUUUGGUAUUGCUCACUUUGCAGAUACAGGGCCACAUGGCACUUUUAUCUACAGGACAGAUUAACUCUAAUAAAAGUGAAGUGGGGAGGAGUUUAUUUUUGAUAUAUUACUUUUGUGAGUUUUCAAGCUUUGAUAGUGUUUAACUGAAAAGUGGUUUAGAAAGGGCUAGAUCCAAUGUCUUCACAUUAUUAAAAAAAAAAAUGAUAUCAGAUACAAUUUUAAGUUCAUUCUUUUUCAAACUCAAGUACCAUAUUGGCAACCAUAAUAUUGUCAUAGGUGCUCUGUUCAUUUAGAUAUUCUUGGGGGGGGAGGGAAAUGGCAUUUGUAUAAUAUAUGUGUACAUAUAUAUAUACAUACAGUAUAUAAUCUAAAGCUCUGAGAGCUCUUAAGUCAGGAAUGCUGAGUAUUAUAGUAUAUUAAGAUCAGAUAAAAUUUUACAUUUUGUGUGUUCUAUUGCAUCCCUUCUUGUAGUUUCUGACUGCAUUACUCCAGCACUCAUUGAUUUUUAUCUUCUAAUUUUCGUCCAGUAUUUUAUUUUUCAUUAGUUUUCUUUGGCUUGAUACUCUUAUAUAUGCUGUUACUAGUCACUUGAAAACUCCUCCCCCCAAAACUAUUCGGUUUUUAUGCUUUGUCUCUGGCAGCUAUAACAGUGGUUAGAGCAUUUUGAAGAUAGCUUUUGAAAGGAACCACUGAUUUUUCAAAAAUCAUCCUGGGGGAGGAAUUUCAUUUGAGCAGGGAUUUUGUCAGAAAAUGUGUUUUGACGGUAGGUCAGCAGCAGUGCUAGUAUCUGAAAGCACAAUACCAGUCAGGCAGGCUGUCCAAUCAGAAGUCAUCUGGCUGAAGUUUAUCUCUGUCUCUCAGGACUAAUCCCCACUAUCUUUUUAACCAUUUGAGGUGACAUGUGGAAUCAUACAAAGGCUUAGGAAGAAACAAGUUUGCUUAAACCAGGAUGCUUUUACUUACUUGAACUGACUUCAGUCUAGAUUUCUUCUUUUCACAUUUAUCGGAUUUUUAAUUGUGAUCAACUACAGUCAGCUAUUAAGGUAAAUUGGUCUCUGUUUAUUUUGAAGAUCGAAGGAUGCUUCAUUUUCCAGGAUUAAAUAAAGCUAAUAUAUCUUAAAUUUAAGAUUUUGAAUUAAAGUGGGUUUUAGAAACAGUGGUUACAUCCCUUUUUCAGUUAUUUUCAAGAGGCUUUAUUUUGUUGCCUUUGUAGCCCUGAAAACUUGGUAUAUUGUUUCCCAUUGACCCAGUACAUAAGUUGUAUAUUUAUUCAAAUUAUAUUUGCAUUAUAUUCUUUGUAAAUGUUUGGUGUAACUUGCACUUUUUUAAAUGACCCAGUUUGGGUAUUAGCAACUUAAGAAAUCCUCUCAUCAAUUAAUUAUCGACUGACUUUGGGUCCUCCUCCUCUCUUCAAAUCAUGUGACUUUUUUAAUGAAAAUUUUUCAUUGAUUAAAAUAUUUUAUCACCUAAAAACUAGCCUUAAAAAUAGCUGUAAAAGAAAAAUAUCUGGAAAUUAGAUUUUCCUAGCCCAGUUCAUUAUAAAAUGGGCUCAAACCUUAUUCUUUCAUCAUGGAGACUGAAGGAAAAGUAAACCAAGUGAAUAAUAUUUAUUUCCAAUUUUAAGUGAGACUUUAUCCUCACCCCAACAUUAAUACUGUCUAUAAUAUGCCAAAAUAUCCAUUCAUUUGUCCAGAGUAGUAAAAGAUUUUUUUAAAUAGUUAUUGUCAUCACAGAGACCACAUGUAAUAAUCAUUUCACCAAAUUAUUUUCACUUUAGGUUGGUUGUAUUAACAUCAAAGAAAUGCCUAAAUUUGAUUGAUUUCAGAUGAGGAGAGGGGGAAAGUGAAGUGUGUUUAGUAAGCCUGUAGGUGAAGAGUUGUGGAAUAAAUUUGUUCAGUUGUACAAAGCACAACUAGAAUUUUUUGUUGGGUGGCUUACAUACAUCUUUAAUACUUUUAAUGUUAAUGUUGACUUUUUUAAGUUGACUACACAGUCAUUAGGAACUGGUUUCCUUGACUUUCUAGAAUCAAUGGCUAGGAGAGGAAUAAUCCUUAAGGGGUCGAACAUAUCAUAAAGCUGAGUCAGUAUGGAAGAAUUUCAAAUAAAUCAAACAGGGUGCUGAAGUUCCAUCUGUCUCAUCUGCUUAUGAUAAGUUCUUAUUGAUUAGUGAAUGUAGCUUAAGCCUUUGUAUGUGUCCUCAGGGGGCAGACAAACUUUAAGAGGGACCAGAUAACGUUUGAAUGGAGGGAUUAUAUUUCAGGUGUUUUAGCUUGAAAUUUAUUUUUUAAAAAAAGAAAAAUUAAAAAAAUAAAUAAAAUAGAACAAAGCCUGUAAAACAAGCUGAUAUUAUAAACAGGCACAGUUGUUUAGCACAGAGAGAAUAUUGACCUGUCUGCAUUCUGGUACUGUGGAUACAGGUCCCAGCUGGGUAUAACAUGAUACUUUUUAAAUUAUUCUCACCAGCAAGUAAAAGGAGAAUGAACAAUCUUCAGAAAAUGUCUUUGAAAAGGGUCAACCAGUAGGAAAUUCAAAUUUUACUUACUUUAUAAGGCAUUAUUUAAUACUUGCCUAUAGAAGUACAGCAUUUCCAAGCUUCUGUCUGAGGAGCAUCUCAGAAAUGUGAGAGUAAAUCUGAGAUGGCUUAAAAAUUGGUAGGGAAGGAAGAAAAUCCCUGCAGAUAAUGAUCUUAUGUUUGUUGGCCAAAUGAAAUGGUCUGUCAUUGUUUGGGAGGUUUUAUUUUCUUACAUUUUUAAAAUUGAAUUGGUAAAUGCUUUAUAGACAUAUUUUUAUCCAGGUGCCACUCCAAUUUGUGUAUGUAAUAAAAUUAUUUAUAUUGAAAUUGGGAAAUAAUUUGUCCACAUUUUUCUGUGAGUUUAGAUUAGGGGUGGCAAAGAGUGCUAGUUAGCAGUUUUCCAUGUAAAGUUGUCCUUGACUGAUUUGUCCCAUGUCAGUUGUAAUCCUCCUCUUCCCCACAAAAUGAAUUAUUUCUAAUCCAGAUGUUACCACUUGAAACUUUUUAGAAACAAUAAUCAGGGAAGUUCCUGGAAAGGUGGUUUUUUGUUGUUGUUUUUCCUGGAGCAUUGGGGUAAAGAAUACCUCCCCCAAAACUAUUAGCACAAAACAGGGUAUGGAUUUUUAACUCUGAUGUUUCUAUUGGAGUUGAAUACUAAAUAACUAUAAUGAGGGAAAUACAUUUCUAAUUAAAUUCCCUACAUUCUAGAAACAUCCCUGUUUAAAUUUUUUUACCUGAAUCUUUUUGUGCUAUAUGUAUAAAGGAAAAAAAUGUACUGAGUUACAAUGCAUUUUAUUAACACUAUGUACAUAUUAGCUGCUUUGUGUUCAGAAUGGUAGCAAUUGCUUUGUAUAUUAAAGUGAUCCUUGUGAAUUUGUGAAAUAUUGUCAUAAAGUACUUUUUCUUACUGUAAUCUUUGUGGUAUCAACUGUCAUAA